rnacentral:rRNA from 1 species
AGCUCCAAUAGCGUAUAUUAAAGUUGCUGCAGUUAAAAAGCUCGUAGUUGCAUUUCCGAGGCAAGGGAUUAGUCCGACCUUUGGUGGGUAUUUAAUCCUCUUGCCUCGUCCUUGAGUGGUGCUUCUUGGUAUUAAGUUAUCGAGGAGAUAGCCGCUCAUCGUUUACUGUGAGAAAAUUAGAGUGUUCAAAGCAGGCUUAUGCCGUUGAAUAUAUUAGCAUGGAAUAAUAAGAUAGGACCUCGGUACUAUUUGGUUGGUUUGAGAACCAAGGUAAUGAUGAAUAGGGACAGUUGGGGGUAUUCGUAUUCAGUUGUCAGAGGUGAAAUUCUUAGAUUUACGGAAGACGAACUACUGCGAAAGCAUUUACCAAGGAUGGUUUCA